AUUGAACGCUGGCGGCAUGCCUUACACAUGCAAGUCGAACGGCAGCACGGGAGCAAUCCUGGUGGCGAGUGGCGAACGGGUGAGUAAUAUAUCGGAACGUGCCCAGUCGUGGGGAUAACGUAGCGAAAGCUACGCUAAUACCGCAUACGAUCUAUGGAUGAAAGCGGGGGAUCGCAAGACCUCGCGCGAUUGGAGCGGCCGAUAUCAGAUUAGGUAGUUGGUGAGGUAAAGGCUCACCAAGCCGACGAUCUGUAGCUGGUCUGAGAGGACGACCAGCCACACUGGGACUGAGACACGGCCCAGACUCCUACGGGAGGCAGCAGUGGGGAAUUUUGGACAAUGGGCGCAAGCCUGAUCCAGCAAUGCCGCGUGCAGGAUGAAGGCCUUCGGUUGUUAACGUAGCUUUUGUUACGGUAACGAACGGUAGAGGCUCUAAUAC
rnacentral:rRNA from 1 species